CCAACCCGAGACUGCAAGUACAUGUAGGCUGAAGAGGGUCAGAUCGUGCAUCGACUGGAGGAAGGUUGGACCUCCAACAAGAAGGAUGCAUGGGAGGACAUGCAUCCGAGCCAAGCCAAGGUAGAAUCCUCCCGAUCGAUGAAAGCUCUGUGCUUAAGAAGUCCACCUCAGUGCUAUAACAGCUAUGCCUUGUUGACUGCCUUUUGAACCUAAAUUCUUAUGGAGAUUAAGGGUAAAGAGUACCUCUAUCGAUCGCAACUGAUGAAGACCUCGUCAACCCAAUGGAACAAGUGAAAGUAUUGCCACCUCUAUUGUGAUCAUGAUCACGAUACUGAGGAAUGUCUCCAGCUGAAGGAUGAGAUUGAGAACUUCAUCCAUCGAGGCUACCUCGAUAAAUAUAUUUGGGACCACC
rnacentral:lncRNA from 1 species